rnacentral:lncRNA from 1 species
GUCUCUGCUGAACCCUCUGCAAGGUCUGGCAGGCUUGCAGGUGAGACAUUAGCUGACGGUCGGCCUGGACCCCAGCCCAGCUGCUGCUGGCCUUUCCUACAUGCUUGCCAACUGCUUCCAAGCGGCCCGACUCAUCUGCUGCUGGUUCCAUCUCCUGCACCUGGCUUGGGAUUCACCUUGGCAGACUGGGUAGGACCCAGCUUUGGCACUGAGCCCCAGUGAAGGCACGUUUUUAAACGCAAUCUUCUACACAACAGCAGUAACUGGAUCCCGUAAUGAGACAAAGAGGUGCCGUUCACACAAACAGAGAAAUACUCACCACCUCACCUGUGCUGAAUGAGAAGUGUGCGAC